UAUUACAAAGUCGGUAAAAUCAAUAAUUUACUUUGUUGUAUUGAAAUUGCAUUAAAUUGAAACUCGACUUUUUAAGCAAGCUAUAGUUGCCAAAGGCAGUGCCACAACGAUCAAACGGCAGUACGAAAAAAAUUCACUUGGUUACUCUUGUCUGUUUUUGAGGAACCCAUAGGAGCCAUUUCAUGUAGAGGGAAUGACAAAAAGUAGUGCUGUGCAAAUUAUUUCACAUAUUUGCAUAAAAGGCCUUGUGGCUAACGUGUUGUGAAUGAGUGUGUUUGUGUAACAUAUCAGUACAAGUUAUUGGUGAUAAAUUUGCACUGGUGAAAUGUCCUAAGCUCAGUCCAUCGCUUUGCACGAAGUGUAUAGAUGCUGUGCGCAUAACUGAGAUGGCAUAACUAAAGCAGUACAGCUGGAGCAAGUGUGAGGCCUCCAGAGAUUGUAUAGUGGGGCUAGAUACCCCUCUUUACAGACAUCCACACUUCAAAGGGUCAUUAAAGUGAAGCGCUAAAUCAGUUGAGACUGAUAAAUUAUCCUGUAAAAACUCUGUUGUCAUUAAUUUCAUAAACAUAAGUCCAUUAUUAAAAGAGAAUGAAGGUCAGAGUUUCAUUCUUUAGUUUCACAGCAAAACACACGGCAUCUGAAUGUUGGUGUGACGUCACGGCUUUCAAUCCUGUUUCGUACUUCAGCCACCUUGGCUUAAUGAAAUUUUGUAAACCUUUAAGUCUCUGGCUCCCUUAGGAAACAAUGUGGUUAACUUUUACCGACAGAAAAUUAAGUACGCCCGAGGAGAUGCCAUUGAAAUCUGACAUCACGUGAUUUCGUGUGGAAGCUUGACGAUCUCUACUCUUGCAUUUUCUUGCUUGUCAAGCACCUUGUAAUCGCAAGGGGGUGUAUUUUUGUAUUGUGGAAGGGUAAUUUAUUGGUAUGAUUCAAAGCAGUUUUCUUUUUAGUGUCCCUUUAGAUAAACCAAGCAGUGAUAACGCCAGUCCAUGUAAUAUUUGUGCAUGAAAAUGCACUGUCUUCAUUUUAAUUGUGGCAGUGGAGAUAUACAUACUGAAGCUUCCUUCUCCCUUCUUUUAUUUAGGAAAGUGCAAAAGGAAGAUAAGGCCCCAAUGGACUCGGUGUACUGCGAGUACAAGCAUGUCAAGGCUCGGAUGCGACUGUUGGAGGUGCUCGUCUCCAAACACGAACAUCGACGUGAGAUAUGAAGCUGGCAGACGUCAUCUGUGUGCAACCCAAUCCUCCUUGAACAUUGUUGUUUCUCUCCUUUCUUCACCUCUCUUGAAGGGUUGCACUACCCCAUCGUAGAACCACAUGAUCAUGUGCUGUGGAGUGUGAAUGUGGGGUUCUGUGGCAGCAUAGUGGUCGAGAUACAGCAUUAUUAAUGUGCUCUUGCUGGCGGAAGCGUGAGAACACAUCUUUUCCUCUUUCUCCUGUCUUAUUUUGAUAUGUUUCUUUUUUUUCAUGGAACAAAAUAUGACCUGGAACAGAGAGAGAAUUCAUAAGCGCAUCGCGUACAUAACCUAACCAUUAAGCUGUCAUAACAUUUUAUUUUGUUCUACUCUGUGGCAUUUCUCUCAAUCUAUCCUCUGUUGUUCUUCAAGGAAAUAGCUGUUUUCAUUUUAUGCCCCCAGAGCUUCCAUUGCUCCGGAGCUUUUGUAAUGUGUGAUGCCACUUCUUCUUGUGGCCUUAUGGUUGACAGUUUAUUGUGGUGAUAAGAAGCCUGUCUUAUUGAGGGUGUUCUUGUCACAGUGUGAAAUGUUUUUAUGUCCAGCAGAGCUCUAUGCUUGAAACCGUGAUAUGCAAUAGAUGCAGUCACCGGCUGCAUCUCUUGGAGUUGGCACCGUGUUCACAUGAUUCAUGUGACAUGUUCACAUGGACAGCAGAUUAAUUUUACCACUAAUAAUACAGCAAAGGUUGUGCAUGUGUAUUUAGAUGCACAUACAUGAGCUUCACAUAAUGUGUACGUUCACUGGAGUGUAAAAGUGCUAUUUGUGUUUCAUUUCCAAUAUACACUACUUGUAGGGCAUGCCUGCUUGAAAAUGUUGUCAACUUUUAUGCACUUUCUAAAAUAAUCAUUUUAAUACUUUCACUUGGCUAAGGUUGCACUGCAGGCUACACAUUUAUUUUUAUUUUUACAGCACUUAUUCUUCUGCGCAAUGUGAACCAAACUAGAGGAUAAUAAAAAAGAGAGAACACUGUGUCAAUUCCAGCAGCAUUUUUUUUUUGUGCACUCAAUUUUGGUGAUUGCUUUCUUUUGCAAUUAUAUUGUUGUUACACUGGCAAGAACUAAGCUUGUGGCAUUUCUCAGUGUUUGUACUUGUCAUUAUGUAUGCAUCCCUUCUUGGUUACCUAGGAUGCAUGGGAAUAGUGUGGUGGCCUUCUGGUAGCUUUUGUUCAGAGGCAGUGCUUGAGAGUCAGGCUGCUUUGGCCACCUUUUUUAGCUCUUGUUUUAGAAUUGCAUCUUUGAAGGCAUGCCUGGCUGUAAUAGUUGGCAGACUUUGUGGCAUAUGGCAAGUGCCAGAUUUUCUGGCAGAUUGCUGGCUAUGAGGACACCACUGCUUGUGUUUUGGACGAUCGAGUGCCUUGAUCGGAUGGAACGGGACAAAGUGUUGCUUGUUUGCCAGGUAGCCAAGAUUGCUGUUCCCCUUCUGUUUUAUCAUGUGCGUCUGCUUGUAGACUGUUUGGUAUAUAUUGUACCUGACAUAUGUGUAUGUAUUUGUCCACAUGGGUUACACCUGUUUUCUAGAGGCAUGAUAUUACAAGCCACGGCAUUCUUAGUCUCCACAUGCUAUGUGUGUGACAUGGUAACUGCGGCCAUGUUGUGCGUGUGGCUAGUCUAGUGAAACUUUCCUCACUUGAGUUUAUGAAUUCUAUGGACCCAGUGUGAUGCUAUGUUUUUGUGUGUUUUUUAAAGUCUUUUUACAUUCAUCUAGACAUGCAGUUGGAGGUUUCUUUUUUUCUUCUUUAUGUACGAAGUGGUGCAGUGUCUGCAAGCAAGCUGUCAGAUGAUAUUUUGAGUAUGCAAAGUGCUGUAUAAAUAUUAAAUAUAUACAUACAUAUAUAUUAUAUAUACACAUAUACAUACAUAUACAUAUAUAAAUAUUAUUUGUCCAAGUGUCCGUGCAUAGUCUAAACCUGAAAUGUUCAUGGAUGACAGUAUUAUGUGUGAGAAUGUUGUUGGAUGAAUGAUUGGGAUACGUUAUUUAUGGCAGUGAAUGUGAUGCUGUGAGCAUUAAAAAGUUUCUAGAGAGUGCUUGCUGUUGUCUGAUUACAUGACCUCAAGCAGGUGCUGGUUUGAAUGCCUCUUCGUGGUCAAUAUUCCACCUGUUAUGAUGGGAUGACUGAAACCCACUCGUACAUGUUUUACAUGAAUGUCAUGCCACGUACUGAGCGCAAUAUUAUAAAGCAAAGGGAAGCAUGAGUGAAAUUAUUUGCUGAUUUAAUUGGGAAUGAUAAGAUGAAUGGAUGUAAAGGUGGGCACCAAGAAAAAAAACCCAUGGUGGGCAAAAAUCUAUUUUCCACUAUCAGAACUGUGAGAGCUGAUCUCACACCCUCUGUUUAGAUUCAUUUCCCCAGCGGCCAAUUUUUUUGUAUGCAUUUGUUUCCCUUUACCUUAUAUAACAUUGCUAAACUCCUAAUAAAACAACAUAUCAUUUCCCGAUGCUUUUUUUUGUCUUAUGUGAACUGUUGGCUUCAUAUGGGUGCGACAAACAAAAGCCGGGCCCCUCAGUUACACUUCUCGUUCAGUACGACAUUUGUGACAUGUAUGACCCUGGAUUAUAGCCAUUUUUGGUCUGAUACACACCAUUUUUUACGCUGCCAUGGUUGCAGAGUUGGAUACGCAUUUUUCUUCCAUAUGCAGCUUUACAAAAGAUUUACUAGAACCAUCUUGUUUACUUGAACUACCUUGUAGUUGUGAUUGUACUAACUGGCAAAACAGAUAACGUGGACUAAUGCAAGCUUGCAUAGUUUUUCACUGGAAUGACUUGAAGCUUGCUGCCAUGUUUCCUCUGACCAGUUGCUGCAAUGUGUUUCUAGCUUAUACUUGUAGUAAAGUGCACGUGUGUCCUGGUUAUUGACAGCACUUGUAGGUAGAAAGCUACCGAUCUCUGCAAAAUGUCCUUUAUUUAGCUUUGUUUUUACACUUCGUCUUGGUAGUAAUGAAUGUAGCAGGCAUAGUGCUAUAGCAUAGAUUUUGCGCUAUUUGACGUUUGUUUCAUUAUAAAAAUGCUGGAGAUAGAAGUGGCCAGCUUUUCACGAUGAACAUUCUAUAAUUGUUGAUACUGGCCCUUUUGUAUUAACAAACUCCUCCAUAUGCCUGGCUUGGGUAUAUUGUACCUUGUGUUUUGUAUUCAGAUAUUCCAGUGGUGUGAUCACAACAAUUGCAUCGCUCAGCAGUGUUGUCACAUGUAGAAUGCGUGUUGUUAUGAUAGUAAGUAACGUUAUGUCUGUGGUCAUGUAAAUGGUCAAAUAUGCUAUAUGCUUAUGAUUAUUUGGUAAUGUACUGCAGUUGUGGAUACAUACUGCAUGUAUUUUACGUUGUUGUAACUGCACCUUUCUUGGAAAUGCUGCAAGGAGCUUGAAGGUUGCCAAUUAAACAUUUGUGAGGCCA